rnacentral:lncRNA from 1 species
AAUUGUAGCCCGCCUUCCAAUUUAACUAUUUGGGUACACUAGGUCAUUGCAUCAAUGUGUGAAGCGUGGUUGACGCUUUGGUCAAUUUGUUGAUUACGGAAGAUGCCUGCAGCUCCGAAGUUUUUCCUUCAUGGGCAUCCUGGUAACGGUGGUGAACUGGUGAUUGGAUGAAGAGUUUGAGGUGAGGCAAGUUUUCAGCAAGGACAAUUCGUUAUUGAUUGUUGCAGAAUCUACUGAUGUACUGCAUAUGGCUUUGGCCGGCAUUUUAUUUCUCAAUAAGUGUCUCAGCAUGCCUAGGACAUAGGGACUAGAGAAGUCUAGUGCAGUGUCUGCUUUAUAAAUGUUUUUUUAUUUGAUUUAGAAAGCUUGUAGCUGGCAGAAGGGAUUUUUAAGUGUGCGUCAUGUGAGUUAAGUUAUUUACAUCAGAAGCUCAAAGUCAUGCUGCAUUGCCAUCUGUAGGAAUUUUUUUAUUUGAUCUAAAAAUGUUCUAGAUUUUUUUCUUUGAGGCAGAUCUGUUUUCUAAUUCUUUUACAGAGCCUCGUAUAUCCAUGAUUGUUGCAUAAUCAACAAACAGGUUUCACUUAGGCUGCUAGCCGGAUUGAAUUUUAUGGGUAUGCAGAAGUAGUUAUAACACACUCUUGCUCAAUUAGUUUCUUAUUGUAGUUUGCAAUUUAUCUCAGAUGAUGCAGACUUACAUUUGUCUUUUUAUCUGACUCACAGGAGCAAUAGUUAAAUUAUGUGUGACAAAAAGGUGCCAUACAAUUAUGUUUGGAUGAUGACCAUUAAAUUUUCUAAUACCUAUAUUGGUAGUUUCUGCGAAUUCAUUGUAUGAUGUUGCUUCCGCAUGUGCUACCCGUGUAAAUAUUGAAAAGUUAAUAAUGACCUGGUAAAGAAUGAACUUCCUUUUUCUUCUUUUUUUUUGUCAUUUUGCCUUGUUUUUUCUGUAUUCAGCUCAAACUAUUCUUAUUGUCCCCUUAAUUGUUGAUGGUUUUUUGAGCUUGCUUGUACCUCAAACUGUUAUUAUUUGCCUCCACAAUUAAUACAAGGCAUGAAAACCUUUUCAUGUCAGAAAAAGGAAGAGUUGAAGAAUAAACUUAUAUGGAAGUGGCUCUGACUUGUGAGGAUGGAAGUCUUAUGGCUUCACCUCAUCAUGUGUGCCUGUGACUCUGUGAGCUAUUUAGUAUGCAUAAGAAACUGUCAUCCUUCAAUUUUUUAAGAAGAGUUUUUGGUUUUUACCAUGCAGGUCUACAAGUUUGGAGCUAGCUAGGAC